rnacentral:rRNA from 1 species
CUGCUGCCUCCCGUAGGAGUCUGGUCCGUGUCUCAGUACCAGUGUGGGGGACCUUCCUCUCAGAACCCCUAGACAUCGUCGCCUUGGUGGGCCGUUGCCCCGCCAACUAGCUAAUGUCACGCAUGCCCAUCCGUUGCCGGAAUCGCUCCCUUUGGCCGCAGGGCCAUGCAGCCCCGCGGCGUUACGCGGUAUUAGACGGGAUUUCUCCCGAUUAUCCCCCUGCCAACGGGCAGGUCGCAUACGCGUUACUCACCCGUGCCG